rnacentral:rRNA from 1 species
GUGAGGAAUAUUGCGCAAUGGAGGCAACUCUGACGCAGCCAUGCCGCGUGCAGGAAGAAGGCGCUACGCGUUGUAAACUGCUUUUAACCGGGAAGAAACCCCAGGACGUGUCCUGGGUUGACGGUACCGGAGGAAUAAGCACCGGCUAACUUCGUGCCAGCAGCCGCGGUAAUACGAAGGGUGCAAGCGUUAUCCGGAUUCAUUGGGUUUAAAGGGUGCGUAGGCGGAGCGUUAAGUCAGUGGUGAAAUCCUGCAGCUUAACUGUAGACUUGCCAUUGAUACUGGCGCUCUUGAGUGCGCUUGAAGUGGGCGGAAUGUGCCGUGUAGCGGUGAAAUGCUUAGAUAUGGCACAGAACACCAAUUGCGAAGGCAGCUCACUAAGGCGAUACUGACGCUGAGGCACGAAAGCGUGGGGAUCGAACAGGAUUAGAAACACUUGUAGUCC